UACGGAGGGUGCAAGCGUUAUCCGGAUUCACUGGGUUUAAAGGGUGCGUAGGAGGGCAGGUAAGUCAGUGGUGAAAUCUCCAAGCUUAACUUGGAAACUGCCGUUGAUACCAUCUGUCUUGAAUGUUGUGGAGGUGAGCGGAAUAUGUCAUGUAGCGGUGAAAUGCUUAGAUAUGACAUAGAACACCAAUUGCGAAGGCAGCUCACUACACAAGUAUUGACUCUGAGGCACGAAAGCGUGGGGAUAAAACAGG
rnacentral:rRNA from 1 species